rnacentral:ncRNA from 2 species
CCUAUAUGUAGGCAUCACGGUUCUUUCGGGUCGAUCCGACCCGAAAGCGAAGAGGGAAGCCGGUGCGCCUUUCGGGGCAAGGCCGGCGCUGCCCCCGCAACUGUAAGCAGCGAGCCUGCGCCGGAUCACGCCACUGGUGCCGCACGGCAUUGGGAAGGCCGGCAAGGGCAGCGACCUGCGAGCCAGGAGACCUGCCGUGAUGAUGACGAUGAA